CUCUUAGUUAUCAAAAAGCAAAUCUUUAUCUCUUAAUUUGGCUUCACUGGCCUAUAUGCUGCAAAUCCUUCUCUUCUUCAUCACAAAGAAACAGAAGCAGCAGAUCCUUUCCGUUCUUAUGGAGAGGACAGGAAAAAUCAUUAGAAGAUCAAUCUUUACCUUACUGAAAGAUUUUCACUACUACACCACCAACCCAGUAAUCAUUUUGCUUCCCUUCUCAGCUUCAGCUCUGCUCUUUCAAUCUUGUUCACGAACCAAAUCAAUUUCUCUUGUUACCAGAAUUUCUUUUCUUGAUCUGAAUCUUUGUCGAUUGAUAUUAAGCUAUGUUCUCAGUCUCCCUUUUGCAGUAUCCUCUCUUAUGAUGGCAAAAGCAUCCAUAAUCCAAUAUUUACAUCGCCAUGAUCACCGUAAACCUACUAUUUCAUCCAUUUACAAGCCUCUUGUUUUAACAUACCUUUGCAAUACAGUUCUUACCAUAAUCAUCAGCUUACCAUAAUCAUCAGCAUAGCAACCUUCCUUCUUCUUGCUGUUGCUUCGAAUUUUGUAGAAAAACUAUUUGGGUUAUCAUCAAAAAGCCCUCUCUUUGUGCUGGCAGCUGAAGUUGCCUAUGAUUAUGAUAUUGGUUGAAUAUCAUAAUCAUAGGCAACUUAGCUUUGGUUGUGGCAGGGAUGUAUGAGUGCACUGGCUACAAGGCUAUCCUCAGGGCGUGUUUGGUAAAGAAGUGCACAAAUUCAAUGGCCUUAUUGUUGGCUCUUCCCAUCAAUCUGGGAUUUGCUUCUAUUCAUUCUUUGUUUCGAUACAGGGUUGCGAGGGCUUAUCAUCUCUCGCAAAGGGCUAAUGUGUCCAUGAUUGUGGAGGGGUGGUUAAUUUCCAAUAUGUUUUCCCUCCUUAUAGUACUCGACACAAUUGCUUGUUGCUUGAUUAUCAAGAGUUAUGUAUCAGAUCAUUUUGGGCGAGAACAAGAAGAAAUAUGCCAUAAUCAAAUUGAGCUUGUCAAAGAGGAUAACAGAAUUUCUGCCAGUUUACAUAGUUUAGAUGAGCUUCCUUGAUAUGGGUUUUGAUGAUCUAGAAAAUCGUACUCUAAUUGUACAGAGAAAUGGUGAAAAUUUAGGCGUGUGAUACCAAUCCAGCCAAGUUGAAAUUUGAUGGACCAUAUCAAGAAGUGCAAGCAACCC
rnacentral:misc_RNA from 1 species